UAUCAAAAUGCAAUACAUGAAAUUGAUAUAAUGAGCAAUAAUUCAGACACAGAACCUGACAUAGAAUACGUCUCAUCAAAAAAACAGCGCAAUUGCUCUGAUCUUCCACAGCUGUCAUAUGAUAAUAUGGCAGAAGAAAUUUUAAAGAAUAAUGAGCAUAAUGCUUCUUCAGCAAUAAUACCUGAAGAUGGAGAACAAAUAAUGGUGACUAAUUACGAAAUCACGACACCGAAAGAGUCAACUCCAUCUGAAACACCGUUGAGCGCGCCGCAAGAAAAUAUUGAAAAAUACAUUGUUAUUCCUGAAAGUAAUCAGUCGGACACACCUAUAAUAUACUCGUACAUUAAUAAAGAAACAAGUUUAUCAGAAGAACAAUGCGAAUUAAAAUCCAUGAAAAUAGAUAUCACCACUAUUAAAAGUGACCUAAAAUCCAUAAAUGACGAUAUGAAGACUAUAAUGGGGACCCUGAACACAACACUAAAUAAUCAAGCCGUAUUACACGAAACACUGAAAUCGAUUUUAUUACAAGUGACUGAAAUACAAGUUACGAACGAAGAAUUCAUUAAAAAAUCUAUUACAGAAAAACAAAACCAUUCGUUGAUGUUAAAACCAAUACAAGAUUUAAAAGAUUUAGAAGAGUUUGAAAAUAAAUUGAUGGAUUCUGAUUAUAGAGAAGAUUUACUAAGAAAGUUUAGUGUGUUUGGCACUAAAGG